AUGCAGCAGCACGGGCUAGCACCAUCGGCGGGCACGCAGGCAGAGAAGGAGCACCACGGCGGCGCGUGGGAGCUCGACGAGGAAUCGCGGGAGACCACGGAGGACGCGCGCGAGCUGCUGUCCACCGGAUCGUGGAGGCCGGCUCCGGCGAUGCCCGUAGUUGGAUCGCGGUGGCGCACGGGAGGCAGCUCAAGGUGGACUCGCGGGAGCACGAGGAGGACUCGCAGGAGCUCGAGGACGAUGAGAGGGAGCUCCUGCUCCACCGGAUCGUGGUGGCAAAUUCCGGCGACGCCCGCAGGUAAUCGCCGCGGGAGGGGAUCGCAGCGGCGCAGCCGUGCAGGUCUGGGCGGCGGUGGCGGAGCAGUACUUGGCGACGGCGGCCGCGUUGAAGGUACGUGGCGACGGAGGCGGAACACUUCCUGGUGGGCGGCAAUCGCGCAGCUUGGCGGCGCCGGCCCCUGGAGACGCACGGGCGACAGCGGAGGAAGAAGACGAGGUGGAGGGACUUGUUUGUGA
rnacentral:rRNA from 1 species